rnacentral:rRNA from 1 species
AUUGAACGCUGGCGGCAGGCCUAACACAUGCAAGUCGAGCGGAUGAAGGGAGCUUGCUCCUGGAUUCAGCGGCGGACGGGUGAGUAAUGCCUAGGAAUCUGCCUGGUAGUGGGUGAUAACGUCUGGAAACGGGCGCUAAUACCGCAUACGUCCUGAUGGAGAAAGUGGGGGAUCUUCGGACCUCACGCUAUCAGAGGAGCCUAGGUCGGAUUAGUUAGUUGGUGGGUUAAAGGCCUACCAAGGCGACGAUCCGUAACUGGUCUGAGAGGCUGAUCAGUCACAUUGGAACGGGGACACGGUCCAGAGUACUACGGGAGGCAGCAGUGGGGAAUAUUGGACAAUGGGCGAAAGCCUGAUCCAGCCAUGCCGCGUGUGUGAAGAAGGUCUUCGGAUUGUAAAGCACGUUAAGUUGGGAGGAAGGGCAGUAAGUUAAUACCUUGCUGUUUUGACGUUACCAACAGAAUAAGCACCGGCUAACUUCGUG